rnacentral:tRNA from 1 species
GGAGGUGUGGCCGAGUGGCGAAGGCUCUCAAGAUAUGAGUAGAAUAUGGUGAUUGGCCGACCAUAGGAACACCGCAGGUUCAAAUCCUGCCACCUCCA